rnacentral:rRNA from 1 species
AGAGUUUGAUCCUGGCUCAGAAUCAACGCUGGCGGCGCGCUUAACACAUGCAAGUCGCACGAGAAAGCAGUAGCAAUACUGUGAGUAAAGUGGCGUACGGGUGAGUAACACGUGGAUCAUCUACCUUCUAGUGGGGAAUACCCCCGGGAAACUGGGGACAAUACCGCAUAAGCUCGUAAGAGGAAAGCAGCAAUGCGCUGGAAGAGGAGUCCGCGGCUGAUUAGCUAGUUGGCGGGGUAAUGGCCCACCAAGGCGAAGAUCGGUAGCCGGCCUGAGAGGGCACACGGCCACACUGGCACUGAAACACGGGCCAGACUCCUACGGGAGGCAGCAGUGGGGAAUCUUGCACAAUGGAGGAAACUCUGAUGCAGCGACGCCGCGUGAGCGAUGAAGCCCCUCGGGGUGUAAAGCUCUUUCGACGGGAACGA